UAGGGAAUCUUCGGCAAUGGGGGGAACCCUGACCGAGCAACGCCGCGUGAGUGAGGAAGGUUUUCGGAUCGUAAAGCUCUGUUGUUAAGGAAGAACGAGUGUGAGAAUGGAAAGUUCAUACUGUGACGGUACUUAACCAGAAAGGGACGGCUAACUACGUGCCAGCAGCCGCGGUAAUACGUAGGUCCCGAGCGUUGUCCGGAUUUAUUGGGCGUAAAGCGAGCGCAGGCGGUUAGAAAAGUCUGAAGUGAAAGGCAGUGGCUCAACCAUUGUAGGCUUUGGAAACUGUUUAACUGGAGUGCAGAAGGGGAGAGUGGACUUCCAUGUGUGGCGGUGAAAUGCGUAGAUAUAUAGAGGAACACCGGUGGCGAAAGCGUCUCUCUGGUCUGUAACUGACGCUGAGGCUCGAACGCGUGGGGAGCGAACAGG
rnacentral:rRNA from 1 species